UUGAACGCUGGCGGCAUGCCUUACACAUGCAAGUCGAACGGUAGAGGGGCAACCCUUGAGAGUGGCGAACGGGUGAGUAAUAUAUCGGAACGUGCCCAGUCUGGGGGAUAACGCAGCGAAAGCUGCGCUAAUACCGCAUACGAUCUAUGGAUGAAAGCGGGGGAUCGCAAGACCUCGCGCGAUUGGAGCGGCCGAUAUCAGAUUAGGUAGUUGGUGGGGUAAAAGCCCACCAAGCCGACGAUCUGUAGCUG
rnacentral:rRNA from 1 species